rnacentral:rRNA from 1 species
CCUACGGGAGGCAGCAGUGAGGAAUAUUGGUCAAUGGUCGGGAGACUGGACCAGCCAAGCCGCGUGAGGGAUGAAGGUACAGAGUAUCGUAAACUUCUUUUGUCAGGGAAUAAAGGCAGGGACGUGUCCCCGGUUGAGUGUACUUGAAGAAAAAGCAUCGGCUAACUCCGUGCCAGCAGCCGCGGUAAUACGGAGGAUGCGAGCGUUAUCCGGAUUUAUUGGGUUUAAAGGGGGCGUAGGGGGUCUGUUAAGUCAGCGGUAAAGGUCGGGGGCUCAACCCCGGCCCGCCGUUGAAACUGGCAGUCUUGAGUGGGGGAGAGGUAUGCGGAAUGCGCGGUGUAGCGGUGAAAUGCAUAGAUAUCGCGCAGAACUCCGAUUGCGAAGGCAGCAUGCCGGCUCCACACUGACGCUGAGGCACGAAAGCGUGGGUAUCGAACAGGAUUAGAUACCCCAGUAGUC